AUGGACAUGAUCUUUAUUGGGCA
rnacentral:siRNA from 1 species